rnacentral:rRNA from 1 species
UGAAGAGUUAUAAGAGGUCCAGCCUGCCCAGUGAAAAUUUAACGGCCGCGGUACCCUGACCGUGCGAAGGUAGCAUAAUCACUUGUUCUUUAAAUAGGGACUAGUAUCAACGGCAUCACGAGGGUUACACUGUCUCCUUUCUCCAAUCAGUGAAACUGAUCUCCCCGUGAAGAAGCGGGGAUAUAAUCAUAAGACGAGAAGACCCCAUGGAGCUUUAAAUUUUACAGCAACUCAGUCAAACAAACCCUUAUAAUCCACAGAGCCAUGCAUGCCAAUUUUAGGUUGGGGUGACCGCGGAGCAAAAAUUAACCUCCACGACGAAAAGAACUAAAUCUUUAUCCAAGAGCUACAACUCUAAGAAUUAGAAUACUAACGACAAUGACCCGAUAAUCGAUCAACGGACCAAGUUACCCUGGGGAUAACAGCGCAAUCUACUUCGAGAGCUCAUAUCGACAAGUAGGC